rnacentral:rRNA from 1 species
UGUAUUAUAUAAUACAUUAUUUGAGUACCAUAUUUUUAAAUUAAUUAAGUUUUCAUAUUAAGAAUUCUAUAUAGACUAAAGCUUGGCUCUGACUUUAAGCAUGAUAAAGAACUAAAGAAUACACAUGGUUUUUAUAGAAAGAGGCGAGGGGAAGAAAAUCAUAUAUUUAAAUUGAAAAAAUUAAUUCCUGUAUUUUCUUCGUAGUAUUAUAGAAUUAGAUGAUACAUUGAAAUGUCCCGCUAACACCAGUGCUGAAUGUUAAAAAAAAAGUGUAAACUUGAAUUAAUUUAGUUCAAAAAAUCUGGUUAACUUGGUGCCAGCAUCCGCGGUUAAACCAAGAAGAUUAAGUCAUGCAUUUUCGGUGAAAAGACAGUUAAGUAGUAUAAAAGCUUUUUAAAUUGUUAUUAAGAAGUAAAAUUCGCAAAUAAUCUAGAAACUUAAUUAAAGCUAAAAAACUGAAGCUGUGACACCCUCGAGGGAAACUGGGAUUAGAUACCCCAUUAUUCUUGGAUAUAAAAAGAUAUAAGUUUACCAGAGUACUAUGGAUUGAUAACAUUUAAAACUCAAAGAGCUUGGCGGUGUUUUAGACUCUUUAGGGGAACCUGUCUCAUAAUCGACAAUCCACGUUAAACCUGACCUUUAUUUGCAUUCAGUUUGUAUACCGUCGUCGUCAGGUAACUUUUUAGAAAAAAGGAGUUAGCAACUGAGUUAACGAUAAACUCUCACGUCAGAUCAAGGUGCAGCCGACAUAAAGGGGAGGAUGGGUUACAAUUAUAAGAAUUAUAACUACGGAAUAACAACUUUAAAUAGAAGUUAUGAAGGAGGACUUAAAAGUAAAAUAAAAUAGUUAAGUAUAUUGAAUCGAGCUCUGAAACGUGCACACAUCGCCCGUCGCUCUCGUUGAAAAACGAGAUAAGUCGUAACAUAGCAGGGGUAAUGGAAAUUGCCCCUAAAU